GAUCAUUUCAUUGAGAUGCAAAUCUAAGGGCCUGGCAGCUCAGGGAUGUGGUCCGAAAUAGCAAAUGAAAACCAGCAAAACAGUUUAGCCAUAUAGUUAAUGGACUUGAUUGUUCAAAAAUGAAAUUUGAUUUAAUUUCAUGCCUUGGAUGAAUUUUUUAACAGAAUGUUAUGGUCUAUUUUAAAUACUGUUUGCUAAAUGCCUGAUGACGUGUUACAUACAGCUGUCCUAAACAUUUUGCCAGUGUGUUUCGUGAAUAAUCAUUUGCAAGUUUUUAAUUUGUUUGCCUGUUAUUCUGAAGUCAUCAGGAAUUAAUAUCAUUUAAGACUAAAAAUUUACUUAUUUAUUCAUUUUCUAAUGUCAAUCAGCUUUCAUUUGAUUCAAAACAAUAAACUGAUCAUUAAAAAAUGAAA